rnacentral:rRNA from 1 species
AAGAAGGCCUUCGGGUUGUAAAGCACUUUUGUCCGGAAAGAAAACUUCUGCCCUAAUACGGUGGGAGGAUGACGGUACCGGAAGAAUAAGCACCGGCUAACUACGUGC